UCCAGGACUGACCAGAGUCCAAUCACCGACAACGAGGAGGCCAUCGAUGGAUCUAUUCAGUGUGGUAGAAACCGUACUCUGUAGAUAAAUUAUUGGAAUAUUGUUUGUGUUUUUCUUUAAAUUUACAAAAAGUAAUUGCUAUAACCUGCCAAACAAAACCAAUCAUUUUUCAUGGCAAAUGAUCGGCUGGAAAGGAAAUGGAAACAAUAUUAAUGAUUAAUGGCAAUCACGACAACAAACCUUGUUAAUGGGUCGCUGAGUCCGAGUAAAGUGACUUGAUGUUACCGGAAGAGGUUCACUUGGUGGACAAGUGUUGACUCCUGUUGAUCCACCGUUACCAACAUUGUUAUUACUUAAAUUAACCUGAGGUUCAACCCACUCCGUUGAUCGUUGUGGCAGUCUCGUUGUUCCUGGUAAGGUUGGUCUUCGAUACAUAAUGAACAAGGCAACUCCUGAACAAUAAAUGAGAAGAAAAGACAAAAAGAGAAUAGGGCUCAUUAUGGUUCCUCAGAAUGAAUUUUGAUUCAACAAAACAAUUUUCAGGUUACAACGAAACGCUUUAAUGAUUUGGUGGUAACUAACCAAGUUGAUGGAAUACUUUCGCACAAACAACUCACUGCUAUUCAAAUUGACUGCUAAAAAUGAGACAAAACAAUUAGCCUUGCUUACUGAAUCCAUCUUGUCGGUCAUCUUUACAAACAUUGGGUCCACACAAUUAACCCAACCCGCUGUUUACUCAGCUAAUUGAAAGAGCAAAUAAUCUAAGUGGAAAUUAAAGGAGCGCAAAAAGGUUGACCAAAAUUGAGCAAAAAUUCAACAUUAAAUGUCCAUAAAUUGUUAUCUCACAAUUUAACCAAGAUUAGCUCAUUGUUGCCUUUUACCCUUAAACUAACCUUUCAUUUAUCCAUAUAUUAUGGAAGCAAAAAUUGGGUUUCAUUCAAAUUUUGGGUUCAAUGUUUCACUUUUCAUAAGCACACUUAAUCCAUGAUUGGUUGAAAAGAUUGAUUAAAAUCUGCAAUCAACUACAAUUUGGUAAAAUUAUGGCAAUAAACAUUAUUAGUAUAUUUUGUUUGAUCGCCAUUGUGUUGGUCAUUAUUAUUGCUUUUAUUGUUAUUUUUA